AUUGAACGCUGGCGGCAGGCCUAACACAUGCAAGUCGAGCGGAUGAAGGGAGCUUGCUCCUGGAUUCAGCGGCGGACGGGUGAGUAAUGCCUAGGAAUCUGCCUGGUAGUGGGGGAUAACGUCCGGAAACGGGCGCUAAUACCGCAUACGUCCUGAGGUAGAAAGUGGGGGAUCUUCGGACCUCACGCUAUCAGAUGAGCCUAGUUCGGAUUAGCUAGUUGGUGGGGUAAAGGCCUACCAAGGCGACGAUCCGUAACUGGUCUGAGAGGAUGAUCAGUCACACUGGAACUGAGACACGGUCCAGACUCCUACGGGAGGCAGCAGUGGGGAAUAUUGGACAAUGGGCGAAAGCCUGAUCCAGCCAUGCCGCGUGUGUGAAGAAGGUCUUCGGAUUGUAAAGCACUUUAAGUUGGGAGGAAGGGCAGUAAGUUAAUACAUUGCUGUUUUGACGUUACCAACAGAAUAAGCACCGGCUAACUUCGUG
rnacentral:rRNA from 1 species